AUUGAACGCUGGCGGCAUGCUUUACACAUGCAAGUCGAACGGUAACAGGGAGCUUGCUCCGCUGACGAGUGGCGAACGGGUGAGUAAUGCGUCGGAACGUGCCGAGUAGUGGGGGAUAACGCAUCGAAAGGUGUGCUAAUACCGCAUACGUACUGAGGUAGAAAGUGGGGGACCUUCGGGCCUCACGCUAUUCGAGCGGCCGACGUCUGAUUAGCUAGUUGGUGAGGUAAAGGCUCACCAAGGCGACGAUCAGUAGCGGGUCUGAGAGGAUGAUCCGCCACACUGGGACUGAGACACGGCCCAGACUCCUACGGGAGGCAGCAGUGGGGAAUUUUGGACAAUGGGCGCAAGCCUGAUCCAGCCAUGCCGCGUGUCUGAAGAAGGCCUUCGGGUUGUAAACUGCUGUCACGCUAUAGGAAACCCUGAAUGUGAACAGCAUUCAGGCUGACUAAAGCGAGAGGAAGCACCGGCUAACUCUGUGCCAGCCGCCGCCGUAAUAC
rnacentral:rRNA from 1 species